UUACGGCUCAGUAACACGUCGAUAAUCUGCCUUUAGGUCUGGAAUAACCUUGGGAAACUGAGGGUAACGCCGGAUAGGAGAUAAUCUCUGGAAUGAAUUUUCUCUUAAAAGCAAUGCCUAAAGAUGAGCCGGCGGUGGAUUAGGUAGUUGGUGGGGUAACGGCCCACCAAGCCUAAGAUCCAUAGGGGCCCUGAGAGGGGGAACCCCGAGAAGGACACUGAAAUACUGGUCCUAGCCCUACGGGGUGCAGCAGGCGCGAAACCUUUACAAUGCACGAAAGUGUGAUAAGGGAACCCAAAGUGCUCAUACACAGUAUGGGCUUUUGCUUAGAGUAAAUAUCUAGGAGAAUAAGUGGUGGGAAAGACUGGUGCCAGCCGCCGCGGUAACACCAGCGCCACAAGUGGGAGCCACGUUUAUUGGGCCUAAAGCGUCCGUAGCUGGUUUGUUAAAUCUUUUGUGAAAUCGUGGGGCUUAACCUUACGACGUGCAGGAGAGACUGGCAGACUAGGGACCGGGAGAGGUUAGGAGUAUGCUUGGGGGAGCGGUAAAAUGUUAUAAUCCCAAGUAGACUACCAGUGGCGAAGGCGCCUAACCAGAACGGGUCCGACAGUGAGGGACGAAAGCCAGGGGAGCGAUCCGGAUUAGAUACCCGAGUAGUCCUGGCCGUAAACGCUGUGAGCUAGGUGUCACGCAAUCUACAUGAUUGCGUGGUGUCGAAGUGAAGAUGAUAAGCUCACCGCCUGGGAAGUACGGCCGCAAGACUGAAACUUAAAGGAAUUGGCGGGGGAGCAC
rnacentral:rRNA from 1 species